UACGGAAGGGGCUAGCGUUGUUCGGAAUCACUGGGCGUAAAGCGCGCGUAGGCGGCCGGUCAAGUGCGGCGUGAAAGUCCUGGGCUCAACCCGGGGACGGCGCUGCGGACUGUCCGGCUGGAGUCCGGAAGAGGGUGGUGGAAUUCCGAGUGUAGAGGUGAAAUUCGUAGAUAUCGGGAGGAACACCAGUGGCGAAGGCGGCGACCUGGGCCAAUAUUGACGCUGAGGUGCGAAAGCGUGGGGAGCAAACAGG
rnacentral:rRNA from 1 species